CUACGGGUCGCUCCAGUGGGGAAUAUUGGACAAUGGGGGAAACCCUGAUCCAGCAAUGCCGCGUGUGUGAAGAAGGCCUGCGGGUUGUAAAGCACUUUCAGUUGGGAGGACUGCUUCUAGCACUAAUAUUGUUGGAAGUUGACGUUACCUUCAGAAGAAGCACCGGCUAACUCCGUGCCAGCAGCCGCGGUAAUACGGAGGGUGCAAGGGUUAAUCGGAAUUACUGGGCGUAAAGCGCGCGUAGGCGGCUAGAUCAGUCGGGUGUGAAAGCCCCGGGCUUAACCUGGGAACUGCAUCCGAUACUGUCUAGCUUGAGUACAGGAGAGGAGAGUGGAAUUCCACAUGUAGCGGUGAUAUGCGUAGAUAUGUGGAGGAACACCAAUGGCGAAGGCAGCUCUCUGGCCUGAUACUGACGCUGAGGUGCGAAAGCGUGGGGAGCAAACAGGAUUAGAUACCCCCGUAGUC
rnacentral:rRNA from 1 species